GGACAAGAAGCCGAAGGGGACACGUGAACGUUGGCCAAGAGGUGACAGGGAUGAGCCCUGCCAAACCCGAACGUCGCCGAGCCCCCCGGGCGCGGGGUUCGCUGCGCCGGGUGCUGCCGGCUUCCCACCCCGCACGGCACCACGAGCUGCUUGGCAGCACCAAAUCCUCCGAGGAACCAAGCCAGGACGGGGUUUUCGGGGUGAAAAUCUGAUUCUGCACCCAACGUGGGGCGCCCGACUCGUCCGCGCAGCUCAGCCCCUGAGGUCCCC